UGCGCCCCCCCACGGGCGCAACCCCAGAUACCCUUUGUGAACUUAUACCUUUUUAUCGUUGCCUCGGCGCCGAGCCGGGAGUGCUCUUCUGUGCUCCCCCACCGCGCAAGCAGUGGAGCAGGCCCGCCGGCGGCCCACCAAACUCUUUGUUUUUAGAACGUAUCUCUUCUGAGUGUUUAUAACAAACAAAUGAAUCAAAACUUUCAACAACGGAUCUCUUGGUUCUGGCAUCGAUGAAGAACGCAGCGAAAUGCGAUAAGUAAUGUGAAUUGCAGAAUUCAGUGAAUCAUCGAAUCUUUGAACGCACAUUGCGCCCGCUGGAAUUCCAGCGGGCAUGCCUGUUCGAGCGUCAUUUCAACCCUCAAGCCUGGCUUGGUGUUGGGGCACUGCCUGUUUUACAGCGGGUAGGCCCUGAAAUUUAGUGGCGGGCUCGCUAAGACUCUGAGCGUAGUAGUUUUUAUCACCUCGCUUUGGAAGGAUUAGCGGUGCUCUUGCCGUAAAACCCCCCCCCUCUUCUUCUGAAAUUUGACCUCGGAUCAGGUAGAA
rnacentral:rRNA from 1 species